rnacentral:ncRNA from 1 species
GUUUCAGGGCGGGGUGAAAUUCCCCACCGGCAGUGAUGCGCAAGCGAGUCUGCGAGCCUUUAACAAGGGCAGAUCUGGUGAGAAUCCAGAACCGACGGUACAGUCCGGAUGAAAGAAA